UACGUAGGUGGCAAGCGUUGUCCGGAAUUAUUGGGCGUAAAGCGCGCGCAGGCGGUUCUUUAAGUCUGAUAUGAAAGCCCACGGCUCAACCGUGGAGGGUCAUUGGAAACUGGAGAACUUGAGUACAGAAGAGGAAAGCGGAAUUCCACGUGUAGCGGUGAAAUGCGUAGAGAUGUGGAGGAACACCAGUGGCGAAGGCGGCUUUCUGGUCUGUAACUGACGCUGAGGCGCGAAAGCGUGGGGAGCAAACAGG
rnacentral:rRNA from 1 species